rnacentral:tRNA from 1 species
UCAUGUGGUUCAAUGGUAGAAUUCUUGCCUCCCAUGUGAGAGACCCAGGUUCAAUUCCUGGCCAAUGAA